UUUUUUUUUUUUUUAUCUUCUUUCUUUCUCCUUGCUGCAGUAGCAGCCGAACCCCAAGCUUAUCUCCUCUUCUCUUGUUCUAGAUUUUAAAACCUGCAAAGACUAAGAACAAAAAAACCAGCCAUAGAAAUACCAACGAAAAAUAAAAAACCAGCAAAGGAAAAAGAAUAAAAACACCACAACAAUUGAUUUCGGAGUUCCCUCUAAAUCAGAGGUACGUCUCCGUCAAGCGACCCUCAAAGUUGCUUGAAUCUCACUAUGAAUCUCAAAAACCGGUUACAAGUUAUGGAGAUUCCAUGCCACAAAAGCUAGCAGGUUGAUUACAAAGGAAACACAAGGCUACUGCCUUUAUUUUACUGCUGGGGCCGAAAGCUUCUCUUGUUCAAAUGAGAAGGUUGAACCUCAUAUUUAUAAUAUUGUUUGUUGCUGGCUGUGUUGUGUUUGAGCUGAGAAAUAGAUAUAUUCUGUUGUGAUAUUUUCCUUGUAAAGCUGAAAGUUUGUUAGAGUCUUGAGAUAUUUUGUUUGCUUCUUUAUAUUGUAAAGA